rnacentral:rRNA from 1 species
UACGUAGGGUGCAAGCGUUGUCCGGAAUUAUUGGGCGUAAAGAGCUCGUAGGCGGUCUGUCGCGUCUGCUGUGAAAACUCGGGGCUUAACCCCGGGCCUGCAGUGGGUACGGGCAGACUAGAGUGCGGUAGGGGAGACUGGAAUUCCUGGUGUAGCGGUGAAAUGCGCAGAUAUCAGGAGGAACGCCGGUGGCGAAAGCGGCGUGCUGGCCCUCUUCUGACGCUGAGGCGCGAAAGCCAGGGGAGCGAACGGG